rnacentral:rRNA from 1 species
GACGUAGGGUGCAAGCGUUGUCCGGAUUUAUUGGGCGUAAAGAGCUCGUAGGCGGCUUGUUGCGUCGACUGUGAAAACCCGCGGCUUAACCGCGGGCUUGCAGUUGAUACGGGCAGGCUAGAGUUCGGAAGAGGCGAGUGGAAUUCCUGGUGUAGCGGUGGAAUGCGCAGAUAUCAGGAGGAACACCCAUAGCGAAGGCAGCUCGCUGGUACGACACUGACGCUAAGGCGCGAAAGCGUGGGGAGCGAACAGG